AGUGAACGCUGGCGGUAGGCUUAACACAUGCAAGUCGAACGGCAGCACAGUAAGAGCUUGCUCUUACGGGUGGCGAGUGGCGGACGGGUGAGGAAUACAUCGGAAUCUACUUUUUCGUGGGGGAUAACGUAGGGAAACUUACGCUCAUACCGCAUACGACCUACGGGUGAAAGCAGGGGAUCUUCGGACCGUGCGCGAUUGAAUGCGCCGAUGUCGGAUUAGUUAGUUGGCGGGGUGAAGGCCCACCAAGGCGACGAUCCUUAGCUGGUCUGAGAGGAUGAUCAGGCACACUGGAGCGGGAACAGGGUCCAGGGGCCUGCGAGACGCAGCAGUGUGGAAUAUGGGACAAUGGGCGCAAGUCUUGUCCAGUCAUCCCGAGUGUGUGGAAGAGGCCUUCGGGUUGUAAAGACCUUUUGUUGGGUAAGAAAAGCAGCAGGUUAAUACCCCGCUGUACUGACGGUAACCAAAGAAGAAGCACCGGCUAACUUCGUG
rnacentral:rRNA from 1 species